rnacentral:tRNA from 1 species
AUAUAGCUCAGCAACAUAGUAUCUGCCUAUCAAGCAGGAGGUCCUGAGUUCAAUUCUUAGUAU